rnacentral:piRNA from 1 species
UGAUUACUAGGGAUAAAGUAGCUCCGUG